rnacentral:rRNA from 1 species
GACGUAGGGCGCGAGCGUUGUCCGGAUUUAUUGGGCGUAAAGAGCUCGUAGGCGGCUUGUCGCGUCGACUGUGAAAUCUCAGGGCUCAACUCUGACAUUGCAGUCGAUACGGGCAGGCUAGAGUUCGGUAGGGGAGACUGGAAUUCCUGGUGUAGCGGUGAAAUGCGCAGAUAUCAGGAGGAACACCGAUGGCGAAGGCGGUUAGCUGGGCAGUUGUCUGACACUGAG